rnacentral:lncRNA from 1 species
CUUCUGUGAACGUCUCCUUCUCAGAAAAGAUUUGGAAUGUCUCCAUUGUUUAUAGAUGUAUUCUCUUGUGGUGGGAAUUCUUCCACUGAGCCACAUCCCGACAUUGCGUGAUUGAGGUAUAGACGCCUGGGAAACUUUACUUAAUUGCACACGAAGUUCUAUAGAAUUUCCCCCACAGAGCAGUGGGCUUGCUCUGUCAAAUGUUCAAGACCUCAAUUUGCUGUUGGCUCACCCCCAGCGCAGUCAUGCGGUCAGUCAUACAAAUGCUCACAAACGCCCUUUGCAUCAGAGGAAUGGUAGCUGAUGGCUCCCUCCAGGCUCUCUUUCCUCAAAACGUGUCUGAAAAUGAAAUUCCAACCUAUGCAUCGGCAAGGACUUAACUUUUAUGUUUGUUUUGCCCAAGGCACGGACCAUGUCAGGGAAGAUGGAGACACCUUCACGGCCUGUUAGUUACAUCUCCACAAAGCUUCUCAAUGGGCUGUCGGACAAGAAAGAAGCCUCCUGUAGCCAUCGUAAAUCAACAUCACCAUCUGUGAGGGCUGGGUGUCCAUCUUGGAAUGUGAAGAUGUUGCCUGCACUAGACAAUGCUGGGAAGGGAGCAAUGGUGCCCAGUAUAAUGACAGCAAGCAAAAGCAAACCUGCCGCACAGUCUGCUUCAAGUGCCCUGCACUGUUUCUCAGAGGCCAUGGAAGACAGAAAAAUUCUGUAACAAGAACUUCUGUAACAAGAACUUCUCAGGUCAGGAAGAAUACGGAAAAGUAUCCUUCUCAACUGCAAAAGAGUAAGAGAAGAUGGCCUCAUUGUCAGAGGGCCAGGGUUGG